GGCGACGGGCUGUUGCAACAGUGUGUUUGUGGGAAGUGUUUUGGAUUCCGCACAGGAUAUGAUCACAAAGGUAGUGAUGUUGACGGAGCAGUUGUCAAUAUGGAGUGCACGUCGCUUCCGACCUCGCCCGUGAUUGACUUACUUUGUUUCCAACGAGAGGGGACGGGAGGUGUCCCAGGGCGGCUAUGGCGUUGGCUGCUCGAUCCAUUGAAGACAGCUUGGUGGAGAUUUAAAGCAUUGCUGCUCGAGAGGGUGCAGCUGACCGGGAGCAGCGUGCGUCGCCAUUAACGCUCUGAGGCAUUAUUGUCGACGGUGCGACACAACUGCAGGUUGAAACACGUCACACUGCCUCCUAUGAUCGAUCCUCCUAUAGAUCGGCCGAUUGUGGAUAAUAGACUCAGCCGAUGUGGACGUGAAGUCCGGGAGACUGAGCUGCAUUGGGAGCUUGUCAGGCACUUUCGUCAUGGUUGGGCGGCGUUGGUGUCUGAAACCAGUGGGAGCAAGUGGCAGUGUUGAGACAUGACGAACGAGGCACCAGGCGAGCCAUUGGCGUCUAGUCGCACGACGUUGGGAUCGCGGCUCUGUUCGCUGCGUUCGUGUUACAGGCGGAAAAUGAUGUACGGACUCCGCCGUAUGAAAGCGGGCUCCAGCUGUCUUGUACCGCGAUGCUUCGAUGAAGGAGCGGGGGAGGAAAGAACCAGUAUCGCUGCUGCUAUCAGUGAAGCAGGCUGGCGCAGCCCACUUCAACUUGCCCUUUGCCGUGUCGCGUUUAUCAGUCAGAACGUUGUUGCCUAUGGUGAGCAGCUGACCGGGAGCAGUGUGCGUCGCCAUUAACGCUCUGAGGCAUUAUUGUCGGCGGUGCGACACAACUGCAGGUUGAAACAGUACGCAAACCCGCGAUGCUGGCGCGCACCAUAUGUUAAUAUCAUUAGCAGGGUGUUGUGCGAAGCCAGAGGCCCUCGCGAGGCUGCUGCUGCGUACCGUACUCCUUAACGAGGCGUUAGUAUUUCUCGGUCUCCCGCGAUGCACUCGCCUUGACAUCAUCAGCCUGUGCUUGAUAUUUUGCAUAAGCAUGACAACCCUCCACGGCAUAUGCUCUUAAUGGCUGAAGCAUCACCUUGUGGUGGGUGUGUUUAUGAUUCCACAAGAUAUGAUCAAGCUGGAGGGGACUGAUAACGCGUCGUAUAGCAUUGGUUCAGGUAGAUGCACCCACUGGUACGCUACGGCAUCCUAUGAAAUUUGUCUUCGGGAAGGUUGCGUCUCUGUGUCUGCUAUUCCCUGGGAGCUACCACGAUACCAGUGUCACGGUUUCUGCUGCUACGUCGAUGGAUGCAGCUUAUUGCUCGUGAACAUGUCUAGAGAGGAACCUGUCUCACGACUGCCUGCCGUAGUCGCUGCCUUGCUUGUGUCCGCGGCGUCACACUGCCUCCUAUGAUCGAUCCUCCUAUAGAUCGGCCGAUUGUGGAUAAUAGACUCAGCCGAUGUGGACGUGAAGUCCGGGAGACGGAGCCGUAGUGGGAGCCUGUCAGGCACUUUCGUCAUGGUUGAGUGGCGUUGGUGUCUGAACCCAAUGGCGGCACGUGGCAGUGUCGAGUCAUGACGAACGAGUCACCAGGCGAGCCAUUGGCGUGUAGUCGCAUGACGUUGGGAUCGCGGCUCUGUUCGCUGCGUUCGUGUUACAGGCGGUAGGCAACUCGGGGAGGACUGGUCACGGUGGUGACCAGUGAGUUAAUCGGGGGAUCAAGAGACUGAUGGCGUGGCAGACGCGCUCGCUAAGGGAUGCACGCCAGGACAUAGUGACUGAGGAGCAGUGGAAGCCGCGGUGAAAGAGUAGGAGUCUUGUGUUUGUGGAGCAUGCGUUGGAUCGAGUCAUCGUAGCUAGGAGAAGGAGGCUGCCGAUGAAGAAUCGUUAAUGAGGAUUACUUCGCGCAUCCCUUCAUUGUGCACCGCAAUGAUAGUAUCUGGUCUGGCGCGGUGAUACUCGUGAGUGUAGACUGGAGCUGCUGAUGAUUUCGCAUGGGCGGCGCGCAGAGAAUGUCGUGUAUCUUGCACUUGACGCCUUGGUUGGAUGUGCUGGUGGACCUGCCACCCGGUCGACCAACGCGAACGGCCUCGGUUUGUGUGUCGACCUGCCUGAUCCGCGUCCUGAGCUGCAUGCCGCGCUGGCAUCAACCGCUCGCCUGAACUGCUUUGGGCUGUGGAUUAUGCUCAGAAAAGGAAUGUAGGGACGCCGCUGCAUGGCGGUGGGCUACGGAUGUCAUGUACUGCGUUGCUUUGAUGGACGAGCAGGGACGGGGAGAACCCGUGUCAACGCGACUGUCAAUUAAAGAUAAUGGCGCAUCCCGCUCCAGCAUGCCCUUCGCCGCGUCGAUGUUUAUCAGUCACAGCGUUGUUACCUAGGGUGUGCAGCUGACCAGGAGCAGUGUGCGUCGCCAUUAACGCUGUGCCGCAUUAUUGUCGGCGGUGCGGCACAAAUGCAGCUUGAGAAUGAUCGAUCCUCCUAUAGAUUGCUCAACUGUGGAUAAUAGACUCAGCUGAUGUGGACGUGAACUCGGGGAGACGGAGCCGUAGUGGGAGCUUGUCAGGCACUUUCGUCAUGGUUGAGUGGCGUUGGUGUCUGAACCCAAUGGCGGCACGUGGCAGUGUCGAGUCAUGACGAACGAGUCACCAGGCGAGCCAUUGGCGUGUAGUCGCACGACGUUGGGAUCGCGGCUCUGUUCGCUGCGUUCGUGUUACAGGCGGUAGGCAACUCGGGGAGGACUGGUCACGGUGAUGACCAGUGAGUUAGUCGGGGGCUCAGGAGACUAGUGGCGUGGCGGACGCGCUCGCAAAGGGAUGCACGCCAGGACAUGGUGACUGAGGAGCAGUGGAAGCCGCGGCGAAGGUGCUGGAGUCGUGUAUUUGUGGAACAUGAGUUGGAUCGAGUCAUCGUAGCUAGGAGAUGGAGGCAGCCGAUGAAGAGGCGUUAAUGAGGAUUACUUCGCGCAUCCCUUCAUUGUGCACCGCAAUGAUAGUAUCUGGUCUGGCGCGGUGAUACUCUUGAGUGUAGAAUGGUGCCGUUGAUGAUUUCGCAUGGGCGGCGCGCAGAGAAUGUCGUGUAUCUUGCACUUGACGCCUUGGUUGGAUGUGCUGGUGGACCUGCCACCCGGUCGACCAACGCGAACGGCCUCGGUUCGUGUGUCGACCUGCCUGAUCCGCGUCCUGAGCUGCAUGCCGCGCUAGUGUCGACUGUUGGUCUGAACUGCUUUGUGCUGUGGACCAUGCUCAGAAAAAACAAUGUGGGGACGCCGCCGCAUGAGAGCCGGCUACGGCUGUCAUGUACCGCGUUGCUUCGACGAAUGAGCGGUGCGGGAACAACCCGUGUCGCCGCGACUGUCAAUUAAAGAGGAUGACGCAUCCCGCUCCAGCCUGACAUUCGCCGUGUCGAUGUUUAUCAGUCGCAACGUUGUUCCCUACGGUGUGAAGCUGACCAGGAGCAGUGUGCGUCGCCCUUAAAGCCCUGCGGCGUUAUUGUCGGCGGUGCGACACACGUGCAGGUUGACGAAGUACGCAAACCCGCGAGGCUCGCGCGCACCAUAUGUUAAUAGCAUUAGCUGGGUGUUGUGCGCAGCCAGAGGCCCUCGCCGGACUGAUGCGGCAUAUCCUACUCCAUAAUGAGGCAUUAGUAUUUCUCGGUCCUCCGCGAUGCCCGCGCCUCGACAGCAUCAGCCUGUGUUUGAUGUUUUGCAUAAGCAUGACACCCGUCCACGAUAUACACUCUGAGAUGCGGAUUCGUCUCCUUAUGACGGGUGUUCGUCUGAUUCCAGGCGAUAUGAUCAGGCUGACGGAGACUGAUAACGCAUCGUAUAGCAUUGUUUCAGGUAGCUGCGCCAGCUGAUAGACUACGGCAUCCUAUGGAAUUCGUCACUGGGGAGGUGUCGUCGCCGUGUCUUCGGUUCCCUGCGAGAUAUCUCGAUGGACAUGUUAUCUUGUCUGCCGCUACGUGGAUCGAUGCGACGUAUUGCCCUUGCAACCUGUCUACAGAGGGACCGGUCUUGCGACUGCCUGUGGUAGUCGCUGCUUUGCUAGUGUCUGCGGCGUCACACUGCCUCUCAUGAUCGAUCCUGCUAUAGAGUACUCAACUGUGGAUAAUAGACUCAGGCGAUGUGGACGUGAACUCGUGGAGACUGAGGCGUAGUGGGAGCGUGCCAGGCACGUUCGCUAUGGUUGGGCGGCGUGGGUGUCUGAAACGCGGGGCGGCACGUGGCAGUGUCGAGUCAUGACGAGCGAGUGUCCACGCAAUCCACUGGUCUCUGUCCGCAUGACUCUGGGAUAGCGCGUCUGCUCGUGGCGUCCGUGGAACAGGCGGUAGGCAACACGGGGAGGUCUAGUCACGAUGGUGACCAGUGUGGUAUUCGGAGGAUCGAGAGACUGGUGGCGUGUCCGACGCACUCGCUCAUGGGGAUGCACGUCAGGACAUAGUGACUGAGGAGUAUUGGAAGCCGCGGUGAAGGAGUUGGAGUCUGGUUUCUGUGGAUCGUGGGUUCGGCCGAAUCAUCGGAGCUAGGAGAAUACGAGAAGGAGGCUGCCGAGGACGAAGCAAUAAUAAGGUGCAUUCUGCGCAUCCCGCCAGUGUGAACCGAAACGAUCCGAUCUGGUCUCGACUGGUGAUAAUCGAGAAUGUAGACUGGACCUGCUGAUGAUUCCGUGUGGGCGGCGCGCAGAGAACGUCGUGUGCCAUGCCCUUGACGCGUUGGAUGCAUGUGCUGCUGAACCUUCCACCCAGCCGACCCACGGGAACGGCCUCAGCCAGUAUGGCGACCUGUCUGAUCCGCGUGCUGAGCUGCAUGCCGUGCUAGUGUCGACCGUUUGUCUGAAUUGCUGUGCGUUGUGGAUUCUGCUCAGGAACAGAAGGUAAGAAGGCCGCCGUAUGAGAGCGGGCUACAGCUGGUAUGUACCGCGUUGCUUAUUCGACGAAUGAGCGGUGCGGGAACAACCCGUGUCGCCGCGACUGUCAAUUAAAGAGGAUGACGCAUCCCGCUCCAGCCUGACAUUCGCCGUGUCGAUGUUUAUCAGUCGCAACGUUGUUCCCUACGGUGUGAAGCUGACCAGGAGCAGUGUGCGUCGCCCUUAAAGCCCUGCGGCGUUAUUGUCGGCGGUGCGACACACGUGCAGGUUGACGAAGUACGCAAACCCGCGAGGCUCGCGCGCACCAUAUGUUAAUAGCAUUAGCUGGGUGUUGUGCGCAGCCAGAGGCCCUCGCCGGACUGAUGCGGCAUAUCCUACUCCAUAAUGAGGUAUUAGUAUUUCUCGGUCCUCCGCGAUGCCCGCGCCUCGACAGCAUCAGCCUGUGUUUGAUGUUUUGCAUAAGCAUGACACCCGUCCAUGAUAUACACUCUGAGAUGCGGAUUCGUCUCCUUAUGACGGGUGUUCGUCUGAUUCCAGGCGAUAUGAUCAGGCUGACGGAGACUGAUAACGCAUCGUAUAGCAUUGUUUCAGGUAGCUGCGCCAGCUGAUAGACUACGGCAUCCUAUGGAAUUCGUCACUGGGGAGGUGUCGUCGCCGUGUCUUCGGUUCCCUGCGAGAUAUCUCGAUGGACAUGUUAUCUUGUCUGCCGCUACGUGGAUCGAUGCGACGUAUUGCCCUUGCAACCUGUCUACAGAGGGACCGGUCUUGCGACUGCCUGUGGUAGUCGCUGCUUUGCUAGUGUCUGCGGCGUCACACUGCCUCUCAUGAUCGAUCCGGCUAUAGAGUACUCAACUGUGGAUAAUAGACUCAGGCGAUGUGGACGUGAACUCGUGGAGACUGAGGCGUAGUGGGAGCGUGCCAGGCACGUUCGCUAUGGUUGGGCGGCGUGGGCGCCUGACUCUAAAUGGAGGCACACGGCAACGGAAGCGGCAACGUCCAUCCCCAACGAGCGAGUCACCACGCGAGCCAUUGGCGUCUGGUCGCAUGACUAUACGAUCGUGCCGCUGUUCUUGGCGUUCGUGGAAAAGGCGGUAGGAACCGCGUGGACGACCGAUCCCGGUGGAACUCCGAGUAGUGAAUGGUGCAUGUGGGAUCGAGUGAAUGGGGAAUCGAGUGAAUUGAGGCGUCGCGCACUCACUCUCCAAGGACGAGUGAUAACGACGUUGUGAUUAACUAUUUGUGAUUAUGUUGUUGGAGUUCGUUUUGCACCGAUGAGGGCUUUGAGUGUUUGUGUUUGUCGAACUUGUGUUGGACCACAGAAUUGAUGGUCACAGGAAGGCAAGCAGCAUUGUGGCUGAUGCGAAGGGUUAACGUGGAUUUCCUCUCGCAGCCGACUGGCGUCCGCCCCAUUUCGCUUACCGUGUCGUCAACCGGGGGUAACCGAGAGUACUGGGGGAAGCAGGUGAGGGUCUUCGUUUCGGCUGCUUCCAUAUUGAAUGCGUUGCAUUAUGACCUUGGCACAUUGGUUACGAGUGCUGCUGAAUUUCUCAGACACUCUCGACCGACGGCAACGGUCUCGGUUUGUGCGACGGCCUGGAUGAUCCGGGUGCUGGGUCGCAUGCCGUGACAUUGUCAGCUGAUGUUGCGAUCUGGUUUGCGCGGUGGAUUCUGCUCAGCAACAAGACGUAGGGACGCCUGCGCGUGGGGGGCGCGCUGCAGCUGGUACGUGUCGCCUCGUUUCGGCGACUGGGCGGCGACGGAAAGAACUGGUGUCCCCGCGACCGUCAGUGAAAAAGGAUGGAUCAGCCGGCUCCAGCCGGCCACUCGUCGUCUCGAUGUCAGCAAGUGUCACCUGGUUCAACAAGGUGUGCGGCUGGUCGGGGUCACGGAACGUGGUUGCAAAUCAGGAGCGUCUCGCCGAUUUAUGGUCGGUGGGGCGGUGCUACGGUUGUGCAGCACCAGCAAGUACGCGCACUCGCGUUCCUGGCGCGCCAAAGUAUCACGAAUAAGCCGUGGUGCGCAACCAGUGACCCGCCCAGGGCUGAUGCCGCAUAUCGCCGUCCAUGACGAGGCGUUAGUAUUUCUCGGUCAUCCGCGAUGCAAUCGCCUUGGCAUCAUCAGAAUGUGUUUGGUAUGUUGCAUGAGCUUGACACUCGUCCUCGCGGUAUGCUCUGAGUUGCUGAUGUAUCUCCUUAUGACCAGUGUUCGACUCAUUGCAGGCGAUGCGAUCAUGGUGGAGGAGCUUGACAACGCGCCGUAUAGCAUUGUCUCAAGUAGGUGUGCCCACUGAUACGUUACGGCACCCUUUGAACUUUGUCACUGGGACGGAUUUGUCUCUCUCUGUCCUGGUUUCGCUGGGAGCAGUCUCGAUGCUGACUUCAUCGCAUGUAUCGAUGGGUGAGUGACCGGUCUGCUGCUGCACCGACGGCUCCGACGUGGUGCCGUGGGAAUCUGUCUACAGAGAAACCUGUCUCGCAACUCCCUGCAGUAGCCGAUGCUUUGUGUGUGUCGGCGGCGUCACACUGCCUCUCACGUUCGAUCCUCCUUAUCGAUCGCCUGACCGCGGCUAAUAGAUGCAGCCGGUGUGGACGUGAACUCGUGGAGACUGAGCUGUACUGGGAGCGUGCCAGGCACGUUCGCUAUGGUUGGGCGGCACGGGUGUCUGAAUCCAGUGGAGGGACGCGGCAACGGCAACGUCAAUCCAUAACGAAGGAAUCGCCACACGAGCAAAUGACGUCUGGUCGCAUGACUAUACGCUCCUGCCGCUGUUGUUGGUGUUUCUGGAAAAGGCGGUAGGCACCUUUUGGAGGACUGGUCACGUUGGUGAUUAGUGUGGUAAUCAGGGGAUUACGGGACUGACGGCGUUACGGCUGUGCCCGGCAAUGAAGGCACGUCGCGACAUCGUGACCUGAGGAUCGUGGAAGUCGCGGUGAAGGAUUCGGAAGUUUGUGUUUGUGGAGCAGGCGUAGGAGCGUAUCAUCCGAGCUAGGAGAAGGAGGCUGCCGACAAGGAGGCGUUGAUGUGAAUUAUUCCGCGCAGCCCGACAGAGUGUCCCGUAUUCAUGAUAUCUGGCCGCAACCGGUGAUCCUCGUGAGUGUGGACUGGAGCCGUUGACGAUUGCGUUUGGGCAUCACGCUGGGAUCGCCGUGUACCAUACGCUGGACGCCUUUGUCGCAUGUGCUGCUGGACCUGCCACGCAGGCGAUGCACGGUAACGGUCUCCGUUUGUGUGACGACUUGGCUGAACCGCAUGCUGAGAUGCAUGCCGUGUUAGUGUCGACAGUUGGUCUGAACCGCUCUGCGUUGUGGAUUCUGCUCAGGAACAAAAGGUAGGAAGGCCGCGGUAUGGGGGCGCGCUACAGAUGUUAUGCACUGACUUGUUUCGAUGACUGAGGGGCGACGGACCGAAUCCGUGUCGCAGCGACUGACACUAAAGUUGGAUGGGAGAACCCGCUCCUUCCUGCCUUCCGUCGUGUAGCUGUUUACCACAGUCAGAACAUUGAUGCGCAAGGUGUGCACCUCACCGGGACCGCGGCCCGUUGCUAGUGACCGUGAACGGUCAGGGCCAUUAUUGUCGGCGGCGUGCCCCUUCUGUAGCUUGACAAAAUACGCAACCCAAGGUGCUGGCGCGUCCCGGAAGUCAACAACAGGAGUAGAAUUUUGCGCGCUAAUGAGUGGAUGUCGCAGGGCUGAUGCGGCCUAUAGCCCUGCACAACGAGACGUGUCUUUCUCAGUCGUCCGCGGUGCAGUGGCCUUGGCAUCAUCAGCCAGUGUUUGAUGUUUUGCAUUAGCAUGACAGUCAUUGUCGAGAUAUGCUCUGAGUUGCUGAUGUAUCACCUUACGGCCGGUGUUCGUAUGGUGCCGGAUGAUAUAAACCAGCUGGGAAGGAAAACUGAUAACGCGUCGUAGUAUUCCUUCACGUGGAUGCGCCUACUGAUAGGCUACGAUAUCCUAUGGAAUGCGUCACUAGGGAGGCUGCGUGUCUCUGUCUUGGGUCCCUGGGUGCUGUGUCGAUGCUUUCGAUAGGCCUCGUGUCGACGCUGGCGCGGUGUUGCCUUCUGCAGCGUCCAGGGUGGCACCGUUGUCAUUGUGUUACAGGUCUACGGAACUGGCGGCCUCCUCGCAGUCCGCUUCACCAGCACACGUUCUGUAUGUGUCGGCGGGACGGUCGCGCGCGUUCAAUUUGACUUGACGGAGAUGCAUCCACCGUUGCUAGUGGAGGCAGAAGAUGAGAACGUGUCCCCUUAAGACUGAGCUAUAGCGGGAUCCUGUGAGGCAGGUUCCCUAUGGUUGGUCGUCGUGGGCGCCUGACUCUAAAUGGAGGCACACGGCAACGGAAGCGGCAACGUCCAUCCCCAACGAGCGAGUCACCACGCGAGCCAUUGGCGUCUGGUCGCAUGACUAUACGAUCGUGCCGCUGUUCUUGGCGUUCGUGGAAAAGGCGGUAGGAACCGCGUGGACGACCGAUCCCGGUGGAACUCCGAGUAGUGAAUGGUGCAUGUGGGAUCGAGUGAAUGGGGAAUCGAGUGAAUUGAGGCGUCGCGCACUCACUCUCCAAGGACGAGUGAUAACGACGUUGUGAUUAACUAUUUGUGAUUAUGUUGUUGGAGUUCGUUUUGCACCGAUGAGGGCUUUGAGUGUUUGUGUUUGUCGAACUUGUGUUGGACCACAGAAUUGAUGGUCACAGGAAGGCAAGCAGCAUUGUGGCUGAUGCGAAGGGUUAACGUGGAUUUCCUCUCGCAGCCGACUGGCGUCCGCCCCAUUUCGCUUACCGUGUCGUCAACCGGGGGUAACCGAGAGUACUGGGGGAAGCAGGUGAGGGUCUUCGUUUCGGCUGCUUCCAUAUUGAAUGCGUUGCAUUAUGACCUUGGCACAUUGGUUACGAGUGCUGCUGAAUUUCUCAGACACUCUCGACCGACGGCAACGGUCUCGGUUUGUGCGACGGCCUGGAUGAUCCGGGUGCUGGGUCGCAUGCCGUGACAUUGUCAGCUGAUGUUGCGAUCUGGUUUGCGCGGUGGAUUCUGCUCAGCAACAAAAAGUAUGGACCGCGCGCCUUGGCGGCGGGCACCAGCUGUGUGAUACCGAUGCGUUUCAACUAAAUGGGCGGUACCAAGGAAGAACCGUCACUAAACGUGUCACCAAAUGGGAUAAAAUAUGUCACUCUGGCCUGCCGGUCGCCGUGUCGGUGUCAAUCAAAGUCACGGCAUGGUUGAACGAGGUGUGCAGCUGAUCGAUGGGGAGGGCGCGUAGGCAGAGCACAACAACGUGCAGCCACACUGUUUUCGAUAUGACGGUGCGUCACGUCUGCAGUUUAAAAGAGUACGCAAUACGACCUCGCUGGCGCGCUCAAAAGACAUGCGCAGUACCGCAGUACUAGGAUGUGAUGCGCACCGUUUGGUCCGCGUGACGAGGGCGUGUGCCAAAGAGUCCAUCCAUAUGCAGGCAUAUGUACUUUUUGGGCGUCCAGUGUGCAAUGGCCGUGACAUCAUAAGCCAGCGUUUGGUUUUCCGCGUGAGAGUGACUUCUUUUCGG
rnacentral:lncRNA from 1 species